AAUAAUGAGAAAAAAUAUCCUGAUAAUUAUGUAUUUUAUCAUAAAUGUUAUUGGUAUUCGAAAAAGGUUGGGAAUGAGAAUUACUGUCCACAAUAUAAAAAUCUUCUGAAAAAAUGUCAUCAACAGAGGCCGGUGUUGCGUCACCGGUGGGCGUUCCUCAAAUGUCGUCAUCGCUUGUGUCAGAAAAAGUGUCAUGGCAGCUGAAGGAAUGAUUUGAAAAAAAAACAAGCAGGAUUACCGGUAAUGACGGGUGAAUCCUGGACGGGGUGAAACUUGCUGUGUCCAUGGGGAGGAAUAAGUGGUGCUGGAACAUUACCGCAGCGCGGGGGACCACUCCACUGGACCCCCCGCCUCUUCGGGGCAGCGCGAACGGCUUCGGAGGAGACUUCAGGUCCACAGCCGAGUCUUUCCUGCUCCCAAGCCAUGAGCUCCAACCACAACCCUAAGUCGAAGGGUUCCUCCCUCUGGUUCGACGCCAGGGAAUUCUUUUUUGCUGGGUUCAUACUGUGAUGCCGGGUUCGAUUCCCUCGAGGAUGCGUCAACAAGUGAACACAGCAGAGACGGACUAUGUGAGGCACCUGUUCUCCGGCCCCCUGGCGGUAGAGGGCGCUAGUGAUCCCAGAGAUCAUUCUUGCACUACUCGGGUGCCGACCAUCAGGGCCGAGUUGCGACGAAAGAGUGUGUCGAUGUUGAGAUAUUAAGCCGAGGUGAGGUGGAGCCGACGGGCUGACGGCGGGGCAGGGCACGUUGCAGCCCUGCCCAAGAUGGCGGCAAGGAAGCGGAGAAUGCGGCGGAGCAGAGAGGCGGGGUGUGCCGGGAGCGACGCCGCCGCAAUCUAAUUCAGGUGCGUGGCUCACACACCAGGACACAAUUAAUGUAUCUCCUCACACUGUAUAAAAGGGGAGAAGGAGGAGGGAUCGAGGCAGAAGGAGAUGGAAUGUCCGCAGCAGUGGCUGGAGAGAAGCAGACAGCAAGACGCGAGAGACGAGGAGCGAGACACGGAGCGCAGGCAGUGGGAGCGACAACGGCGAAAAAGACAUCGAUUAUUGAAAAAUAAAAGGGUCAAACCUG